rnacentral:rRNA from 1 species
AGAGUUUGAUCCUGGCUCAGAAUGAACGCUGGCGGCGUGCCUAACACAUGCAAGUCGAACGAGAAAGCCCGCAAGGGUGAGUACAGUGGCGCACGGGUGAGUAAUACAUAGGAAUCUGCCUCUGAGUGGAGAAUACCCUGGAGAAAUUCAGGUUAAUACUGCAUAAGCCCGUAAGGGGAAAGGUGGCCUCAAGCUGCCGCUGAGAGAUGAGCCUGUGGCCUAUUAGCUAGUUGGUAGGGUAAAAGCCUACCAAGGCGAAGAUGGGUAACCGGCCUGAGAGGGUGUACGGUCACACUGGAACUGAGACACGGUCCAGACUCCUACGGGAGGCAGCAGUGGGGAAUCUUGCACAAUGGGCGAAAGCCUGAUGCAGCGACGCCGCGUGGAGGAUGACGAUCUUCGGAUUGUAAACUCCUGUUAAGUGGGAAGAAAGAUUCAUACCUAAUACGUAUGGAGGAUGACGGUACCACUAGAGAAAGCACCGGCAAACUUCGUGCCAGCAGCCGCGGUAAUACGAAGGGUGCGAGCGUUAUUCGGAAUAACUGGGCGUAAAGAGCGUGUCGGCGGUUUGUUAAGUCAACUGUAAAAGGGCUCGGCUUAACCGAGUAAAUGCGGGUGAAACUGGCAGACUAGAGUACGGGAGAGAAAGGUAGAAUUCUCGGAGUAGCGGUAAAAUGCGUAGAUCUCGAGAGGAAUACCGGUUGCGAAGGCGGCCUUUUGGCCCGUAACUGACGCUUAAGCGCGAAAGCGUGGGGAGCAAACAGGAUUAGAUACCCUGGUAGUCCACGCCGUAAACGAUGAUCACUAGAUGUGGGUCGUGCAUAGCAUGAUCCGUGUCGUAGCUAACGCGUUAAGUGAUCCGCCUGGGAAGUACGGUCGCAAGAUUAAAACUCAAAGGAAUUGACGGGGGUCCGCACAAGCGGUGGAACAUGUGGUUUAAUUCGACACUACGCGAGAAACCUUACCUGGGCUUGACAUGUAACUGCUACUGAUAGAAAUAUUGGAUUCCGUAGCAAUACGGACGGUUACACAGGUGCUGCAUGGCUGUCGUCAGCUCGUGUCGUGAGACGUCGGGUUAAGUCCUUGAACGAGCGCAACCCUUGCCGUUAGUUGCCUGUCGUAAGGCGGCACUCUAGCGGGACUGCCGUGGAAACACGGAGGAAGGUGGGGAUGACGUCAAGUCCUCAUGGCCCUUAUGCCCAGGGCUACACACGUGUUACAAUGGCGAGCAACAAAAGGAUGCGAUAUCGCGAGAUGGAGCAAAUCCCUAAAACUCGUCUAAGUUCGGAUUGUAGUCUGCAACCCGACUACAUGAAGCUGAAAUCGCUAGUAAUCGCAUAUCAUCACGAUGCGGUGAAUACGUUCUCGGACCUUGUACACACCGCCCGUCACACCAUGAGAGCCGUCGGCACCCGAAAUCAUUUUAGCUAACUGAGCAAUCAGGGGCGGAUGAUGAAGGUGAAGGGGGUGAUUGGGGUGAAGUCGUAACAAGG